CCUACGGGAGGCUGCAGUGGGGAAUAUUGCACAAUGGGGGGAACCCUGAUGCAGCGACGCCGCGUGGGUGAAGAAGCGCCUCGGCGCGUAAAGCCCUGUCAGCAGGGAAGAAAAUGACGGUACCUGAAGAAGAAGCCCCGGCUAACUACGUGCCAGCAGCCGCGGUAAUACGUAGGGGGCAAGCGUUAUCCGGAUUUACUGGGUGGAAAGGGGGCGCAGACGGCGAUGCAAGCCAGGAGUGAAAGCCCGGGGCCCACCCCCGGGACUGCUCUUGGAACUGCGUGGCUGGAGUGCAGGAGGGGCAGGCGGAAUUCCUGGUGUAGCGGUGAAAUGCGUAGAUAUCAGGAGGAACACCGGUGGCGAAGGCGGCCUGCUGGACUGCAACUGACGUUGAGGCCCGAAAGCGUGGGGAGCAAACAGGAUUAGAUACCCCAGUAGUC
rnacentral:rRNA from 1 species